rnacentral:rRNA from 1 species
UACGUAGGGUGCGAGCGUUAAUCGGAAUUACUGGGCGUAAAGCGUGCGUAGGCGGUUCUGAAAGUCAGCUGUGAAAGCCCCGGGCUUAACCUGGGAACUGCGGUUGAAACUACAGGACUUGAAUCUGGCAGAGGGGGGUGGAAUUCCACGUGUAGCAGUGAAAUGCGUAGAGAUGUGGAGGAACACCGAUGGCGAAGGCAGCCCCCUGGGCUGAGAUUGACGCUCAGGCACGAAAGCGUGGGGAGCAAACAGGAUUAGAUACCCUGGUAGUCCACGCCCUAAACGAUGUCAACUAGGUGUUGGGAGCGCAAGUUCUCAGUACCGCAGCUAACGCGUGAAGUUGACCGCCUGGGGAGUACGGUCGCAAGAUUAAA